AACAGACAGAGUGCUCACCCAGAAACUGAAACUCACUUCAGAGACCUUGCUCACUUCAGAGACCUUGUCAGCAAACCCUUACCGAUGGAACACACACAGAAAGAAAACACAGCACAGGACUCCAGGCAUGUUCAACACAAACUGGUUCAAGGUCUGGAAAGUCCAGAAGGCUCUGAGGAGCAAGAGAAAGAGGAAGAAAGUGAGAGUGCAGAGGACAAAGAAAGACAUGAACAAAAACCAUAUAAAGAUGAGGCAAUGUCUGCAACAGGAAUGGAUGGGACAGGAAGUGGCCACUCAUCAAUCAAAUCCAAGCAGGGGAAUGAUACGGAGGGUUGUCAGACAGCAGAGCGGUGGGAGCCGAGGAGCAAAACAUGCAGAAAUAGACAAGGCAGUCUUCAUGUAGUCUUCACUACGCUCCAUCUUUUACCUAGGUCAGAUGGAGAGCAGAGGAGGCCCACUGCUGGCACUCUCCCCCAACUAUCCAAAAGACAACAAGCGCAAAGCAGAAUUUCAGCUGGGGCUCAAAAGAUAAGAUCUUCAUAUCUGACCGAAUUGGUCCAAAAGUCUGGAAGCAACAGUAGCAUUUUGCAGAGUCCCAGGCUUAAAUCCAUACCCAGACCUCCUGCAAAACGUACAGGCCCUGGAACUCAAAGUUUAGCUUCUUGUCACCAUUCAAGAAUGAGACCACACAGUGGCCUUAAGUCUCCCAUUUACAGUUCUUCUUCAAUACCAAGCUCCGGACAGCAAGUUCACAUGUUCCCAUCCUCCCUCCUGGAAUCACAAGUCGAAACGUCUCUUUCUCGAACUCCACCAUCUUCUGAACCAUUUACAAACUGCUCUGCACACAGAAGAUGAGCUUUUUCCUAUAGCACUACUUCAAGAAUCCAGAGGUCUAGUUCUGCCCAACAGUGAACCAAGUAAAUGUUGAUGGACAAACCACCUCCUGCUCUUAAGGAGUUCUCCAAAACAGAGCCCAGAUGACUAAAUAACAGGGUCCACUUUACUCCUGUGAUCACACACUCUGAUUUAGCAAAUAUGUUCCUCUGAUAGGCCGUCUCAGUCAACAACACUCGUGAAACUUGACUUCAUUUGAAGGCAUUAGACUUUGGUCUUACAGUCAGAGCUGUGUGUAGAAAAUCUAGAGACCUUGAAUCACAUCAUUUCUUCAGAACUUGAGAAGGUUGAGGGUUUUUUUUUUCUUUUACCCUGCACACUACUGUACCACAUUAAUUUUAAUACUUACAGUAUGCUGUUUAUUAAAGACAUAACGCCUUCUCGGAUCUUGGCCUCUUGUAAGGCUUUUCACGGUGAGGAAUUUUCAUGGAUGUCUGUCUCUUCAGUAUAAGUCACAUGUGUAUGCCACUGUGGCUCUUUUCAGUGUGAGGAAAUUGAUUUGUUGCAGAGAUAAUAUGAGUUUUUUCAAAAUAAAAUCACAAAGCUUCCUUUCAGUGUGGCUUGCUCCUUGUCUUUGCUGUUUUGUUUCAUGUUUCUUAGUGUUUUCUUCAUUAGCUUGGUAUGCAAACUGUCUCUUUGCCUCAAUUCUUUGCAC